rnacentral:lncRNA from 1 species
CACCCCUUGGAGCUGUCGCCUUCGCCUCUGCCACCACCGACUCAGGCACCGCCGCCGCCUCGCCGCUGCUCUUCCUGCUCUGGUCGCCUUCCUCCGCCCCUUCCCAGGCCUCCCUGCCCUAGUGCGGAGCCAAUCCCCGCCCGCCGCCCCGGGCGCUGUGCCCAAUCGCCGCAGUCUUCCCGCCCACUUCGUUGCCCCGCCCCCGGGGUCAAGCAUUGACCAAUCACUUUGCGAGGUUCCCACACCGGCUUUCCCGAUUGGACCACGGCCUCACCGACAUGGCCCCAGCUAAUUGGUAGAUCCUGGGUUCGACCGUCCCGGAAUCGGGGCGUGAGUCCAGGGCCGGGAAGACAAGAAAGUCACCUCCGGACUACAGUUCCCAGCAUGCACUUCAAGGGCCUCUUUCGACGUGUGCUCUCGGGAAACGUAGUUCGCUGUGGAGCAAGAUUUAAAUGUGCAGGUGGCUGUUGAAGUUAAGAGAACUUAGGUAACACCUGGGCUGGACGUUAAGUCAAGGCUACGAACCCGCGUCCCUCCUCCCCCUUUUAUGGAGCCAAAAUAUGUAUCGAAGAACACACAUUUAAGAGUUUGUAAUGUGUUAAAGCUCUUUCUCGCUCUUUGUUUUAUUUAGAAAAUUUGAAUUGAACACAGUGAUAUCAGCAUGGAGGGAAAAUACAACAGCUGGACUGCGUUCGAAGUAUUUUUUUGGAACUUAGAUGGAACAGGGCCAUAUUCGUGGAAACCGGAGUGGAACUCGCUCUCCCUUUUUCUUUUCCUGACAAAGCAAAAGGAAAGAAACCCCAUCCAGGGCAGAUCAUCUCAAUGCUAGUAUUCGUUUUUAGGAGGGCCACCAGGAACAAGAAGGAAGAGAGGGGUAAAAGGAUCACCUAUCUGCAGCAGCAGAGCGGGUGCAUGGCCAUAAGAAGAGGAGGAAGAGUGUUCUCCAUUACCCUCUCCUUCCUCUCCCUACGCCUGGGAGUUGUGGUGUUUAUGUGCACCUGUCUGGGAAUGGGCUGCUGCAGUCAUAAGGAAUGUCCAGGACAAGAUAAAAAAAUUCCUUCCUUGAACUGGAAGGUUUGAAAUAAAGAUAUUUCGUGCUUAUUUUCUGCCUGGGCCUUUUGAGAUAUUGUCUUAGUCUGU